AUACUUGAGCUCCACUUCCUCCUGAAUGCACUUUAGCCUCAACCGCAAAUUGUAAUGCACAUAAACAACGUCGUUGAGGUGCUUUUGCGUCAAACGGUUUCUUUGUUUGCUGUGGAUAAGGGCGAAGGUGGACCAAUUGCGCUCACAGCCACUAGAGGAGACUGUUUGGGAGAGGAUCCGGAUAGCUAUCCGCUUUAGAUUUCUCGCGGACCCGCCAAAAUGCACCCACCAUUCA
rnacentral:lncRNA from 1 species